rnacentral:rRNA from 1 species
CCUGCCCAAGAGAUCGGGAUAACACCUGGAAACAGAUGCUAAUACCGGAUAACAACAGAUGAUGCCUAUCAACUGUUUAAAAGAUGGUUCUGCUAUCACUCUUGGAUGGACCUGCGGUGCAUUAGCUAGUUGGUAGGGUAACGGCCUACCAAGGCGAUGAUGCAUAGCUGAGUUGAGAGACUGAUCGGCCACAUUGGGACUGAGACACGGCCCAAACUCCUACGGGAGGCAGCAGUG